UACGGGGGGGGGCAAGCGUUGUUCGGAAUUACUGGGCGUAAAGGGCUCGUAGGCGGCCAACUAAGUCGGAUGUGAAAUCCCCAGGCUCAACCUGGGAACUGCAUCCGAUACUGGAUGGCUUGAAUCCGGGAGAGGGAUGCGGAAUUCCAGGUGUAGCGGUGAAAUGCGUAGAUAUCUGGAGGAACACCGGUGGCGAAGGCGGCGAUCCUGGACCGGCAUUGACGCGUGAGG
rnacentral:rRNA from 1 species